GACAGAGGUCCCGAGCGUUAGGCGGAAUCACUGGGCUUAAAGCGUGUGUAGGCGGAUGCCUAAGUACCUUGUGAAAUCCCACGGCUCACCCGUGGAACUGCUUGGUAUACUGGGUGUCUUGAGCCACUUAGGGGCUACCGGAACAAAUGGUGGAGCGGUGAAAUGCGUAGAUAUCAUUUGGAACGCCAACGGUGAAAACAGGUAGCUGGGAGUGUGCUGACGCUGAGACACGAAAGCCAGGGGAGCAAACGGG
rnacentral:rRNA from 1 species